GAUGAACGCUAGCGGCAGGCUUAAUACAUGCAAGUCGAGGGGUAGCAAGAUUGUAGCAAUACAAUUGUUGACGACCGGCAAACGGGUGCGGAACACGUACACAACCUUCCUACAAGUGGGGAAUAGCCCAGAGAAAUUUGGAUUAAUACCCCGUAACAUAGCGAUGUGGCAUCACAUUGCUAUUAUAGCUUCGGCGCUUGUUGAUGGGUGUGCGGCUGAUUAGAAAGUUGGCGGGGUAACGGCCCACCAAGUCUACGAUCAGUAGCUGAUGUGAGAGCAUGAUCAGCCACACGGACACUGAGACACGGGCCCGACUCCUACGGGAGGAAGCAGUAAGGAAUAUUGGACAAUGGACGCAAGUCUGAUCCAGCCAUGCCGCGUGAAGGAUUAAGGUCCUCUGGAUUGUAAACUUCUUUUAUAAGGGACGAAAAAAGGUCUUUCUAGAUCGUCUGACGGUACCUUAUGAAUAAGCACCGGCUAACUCCGUGCCAGCCGCCGCAGUAACAC
rnacentral:rRNA from 1 species